GACGAACGCUGGCGGCGUGCUUAACACAUGCAAGUCGAGCGGUAAGGCCCUUUCGGGGGUACACGAGCGGCGAACGGGUGAGUAACACGUGGGUGACCUGCCCUCAGCUCUGGGAUAAGCCUGGGAAACUGGGUCUAAUACUGGAUAUGACUCCACGGUGCAUGUCGUGGGGUGGAAAGCCUUGUGCGGCUGAGGAUGGGCCCGCGGCCUAUCAGCUUGUUGGUGGGGGAUGGCCUACCAAGGCGACGACGGGUAGCCGGCCUGAGAGGGCGACCGGCCACACUGGGACUGAGACACGGCCCAGACUCCUACGGGAGGCAGCAGUGGGGAAUCUUGCGCAAUGGGCGAAAGCCUGACGCAGCGACGCCGCCGCGAGGGA
rnacentral:rRNA from 1 species